rnacentral:rRNA from 1 species
AUUGAACGCUGGCGGCAUGCUUUACACAUGCAAGUCGAACGGUAACAGGCCGCAAGGUGCUGACGAGUGGCGAACGGGUGAGUAAUGCAUCGGAACGUGCCCAGUCGUGGGGGAUAACUACUCGAAAGAGUAGCUAAUACCGCAUACGAUCUAUGGAUGAAAGCGGGGGACCGUAAGGCCUCGCGCGAUUGGAGCGGCCGAUGUCAGAUUAGGUAGUUGGUGGGGUAAAGGCUCACCAAGCCAACGAUCUGUAGCUGGUCUGAGAGGACGACCAGCCACACUGGGACUGAGACACGGCCCAGACUCCUACGGGAGGCAGCAGUGGGGAAUUUUGGACAAUGGGCGCAAGCCUGAUCCAGCAGUGCCGCGUGCAGGAAGAAGGCCUUCGGGUUGUAAACUGCUUUUGUACGGAACGAAACGGCUCUGGUUAAUACCCGGGGCUAAUGAUGGUACCGUAAGAAUAAGCACCGGCUAACUACGUG